rnacentral:lncRNA from 1 species
AGCCUGAGGAAGAGGGCGGCGACGGUGGUGGUGACUGAGCGGAGCCCGGUGACAGGAUGGCUGGGCACAGAGUAAGUUUCUUCACUUAGCUCCUACUAACAGUGGUGGUUGGGUGGCUGUUUACUGACUGGAUUUCUUACCCUUUUAAGGUCUGUUGAAAGGAAGUAACCGAAUUCCCAUGCUUUGAUUGGGUUGGCUCUUUAUUUUAAUUUAAUAAGACUGCCAUUUCCAGGAUCUUUUGCUUUCUUAAAGGACUCUAUCAUCUAUGUCUAUCCCGAUUUGUCAAAGUGUGGAAUUUGGGCGGGAACAUGUUUCAAAGUAUGACACGUGUUAUGUAACACUAUUUCCCCAUAACUUUGUCAUCAGCAGGAAACCAGAGGAUUCUGUCCUAGUAAGGAUCCCUACUAAUUUGAAAUGAUUGUGUGGUCAUUCAUACAGUUAUAUCUUUAGACUGCUAAUAGUCUUGAGUCUUGGAGAUAAUCCACAGUACUUUAUAGAAUUAGGUCAUCAAUCAUUAUAAAGUACCAUGUCUUACUAAUGUUCUUUCUGGUACAUUCAGAUUGAACAGCUCAUUCAUUAUUAGUACCAAACAUUUCAACCUGUUGUAGACAUAUACCCUUUUAUGAGUUUGGGGUGGUGGUUGUUGUUGUUGUUCUUCUUCUUCUUUUAAAUAUAGAAAUCUAUUAUUUUUACCUUUUUCUCAAAGCAAGAUUCCCAUACUAACUAUGUACUUCAAUCCAUAUCAGAAGGAAUCCCCCUCUAAAAUGAAGAUUGUUCUAUAUCCAGGUACUUUUAUGUUGAUUACCAGUG